CUAAUCCAUCCGAAGCAAAUCCGAAGCCUGUACUUCCCAUCACUCCCACGGUGGUUGAAGCGCCGCUCAAGGAGCCCGCGUAGACACUAGCGCCAAAUUCCCCUCUAGGUAUUAAUGUAAAACUCUAUGACUCAUCACGAUGGCUCAGUUGACUGAAGCAGUCUGCUGCUGAGCAUGUGAUGGCAGAAUAAUAUCCUGGCUUCUGCAGUGGCAUUUCAAUGGUAGUGAAAUGAAAAAGUGCCCUUGUUCAGUGAAGUCUCAGUCUGGACAUAGUUUUUAUGCUCCUGCUCGUGUUGACUCUUUUCAGGUGCCAUCUUGUUCACGGGUUCAAACCCAAAAAAGGUGCUGCGCCUUCUCUCGACCAUUGGUGUGGUGGCACCAAAGCUUCGCCUUUUCUUCGUCAUUCAAUCUGCCUAGCUGUUUCCAUCAGUGUACAAGGUAGGAAAGUGUAUGCACAUACCAUGAACCGCAAAUCAAUUGAAAGUAUAAUGUACUAAUUACUUGAAAUUUUUGUUAAAACAGCUUUGGACAGAUCAACAAAAGCAUUUGCUUGAGGCAUCAGAACCCCUCCGCCUGGCAGAAGAUGGGAGGUGUGACUCCCCGGGAUUCAGUGCCAAAUACGUGACAUACACUUUCAUUGAUGCCAGCCGCGAUGUCAUCCUCCACACACAACUUGUGCAGGUAAAUGAAGUGGGCAACAGUGUCCGAAUGGAGCUGGAAGGACUGAAGAGAGGCCUACAGUUCCUGCUGGACAUGAACCAGUGUAUCAGCAGCAUUGUCACUGACCGUCACAGCUCCAUACGAGCUUAUCUGAAAAGGGAGCAUCCUGAAAUUGCUCAUCUUUUUGACUGCUGGCAUGUUGCAAAAGGCAAGCAUACCACAACUCCACAGUCGUCCAGCAUCUGUUGGUUAUUUCUAGAAAGCCUUCAAAUUUCAUUGCAUUGCAUUUCAGGAAUAAAGAAGAAGCUUCUGGCCGCUU
rnacentral:lncRNA from 1 species